rnacentral:rRNA from 1 species
AACAAACGCUGGCGGCGUGCCUAAUACAUGCAAGUCGAACGGGGAAAGCUUUCGGGUGAGUACUAGUGGCGCACGGGUGAGGAACGCGUGGAUAAUCUGCCUUAGAGUGGGGGAUAACUAGUCGAAAGAUUAGCUAAUACCGCAUAAGACCACGAGAGCUGCGGCUUUUGAGGUCAAAGGUUUUUCGCUCUAAGAUGAGUCCGCGUAAGAUUAGCUAGUUGGUGAGGUAACGGCCCACCAAGGCGACGAUCUUUAACUGGUCUGAGAGGAUGAUCAGUCACACUGGAACUGAGACACGGUCCAGACUCCUACGGGAGGCAGCAGUAGGGAAUAUUGCACAAUGGAGGAAACUCUGAUGCAGCGACGCCGCGUGAGUGAUGAAGGCCUUCGGGUCGUAAAGCUCUGUCGCAGGGGAAUAACACAAUGAAGGUACCCUGUAAGAAAGGAUCGGCUAACUUCGUG